AAUGACACGGUUUUGACAAACACUUUACCCUAAAAAUAUGUCAAAUCAAAUCACAAUGUAUUUAUUUUAUUAACAAGGUCUCAACACACUUUACAAAAAUAAUAAUACAAACAUUUUUAAACACAAAGUUUGUUUUACCCAUCCAGCAGCAGUUUUCAAAAUGCUCCUCAACCCAUAAGGGGUUUAAAUCUAUUGAUGGUGUUGGUCAUUGGUUGAUGAUCAAAUAUGACCAGGGAUGGACUGGGACCAGAAAUCAGCCAGGGCAUUUCCAACACACGCCCCAUUUUCUCCUCGAGGCCCCCUUUAUAAGCCCAAAAAAUUAUAAUUUUGCACAAAACCAAUUUAAACAGGCCCAAUGGAAUUAAACAGGCCCAAUGGGAUUAAAAUGAACAAGCCCAUCUUGCAUUUGCCCGAACUGCCCUUUGGCCAGUCUGCCUCCAAAUAUGACUGCUGUGGCUUUCAGUGAAAGGAUGAAGAAAACCUGGUCAAGAACUACAGGAAACUUAUGAUCUCUGUAAUUGCAAACAAAGGUUUCUGUACCAAAUAUUAAGUUCUGCUUUUCUGAUGUAUCAAAUACUUAUGUCAUGCAAUACAAUGCUAAUGAAUUAAUAUAAAAUCAUAAAAUGUGAUUUUCUGGAUUUUUGUUUUAGAUUCCGUCUCUCACAGUUGAACUGUACCUAUGAUAAACAUUACAGACAUCUACAUGCUUUGUAAGUAGGAAAACCUGCAAAAUCGGCAGUGUAUCAAAUACUUGUUCUCCCCACUGUAUGUGGCAGGGUCAACAGACAAUCACGGUGUCACGACUUCCUCCGAGGUUGGCUCUCCUGCCCGUUCAGGCGGUGCUCGGCCGUCGUCGUCACCGUCCUACUAGCCACUACCGAUCCCUUUUCGUGUAUCUGUUGGUUUUGGCUGAUUGGUUUCACCUGUGUGUUGUUUAGUUUAUUAGUGUCUGUAUAUAUAGUAGGUUGUCCCGCCCUUGUUUUGUGCGUGAUUGUUUAUUUGUCAUCUAUGUCUGUCGGUGUAUCUUGUGUUCUUAUUCUCCGGUUCGUCUUUUAUCCUGUGUUGGAUUGUUCACCCUGUGUGUAUUGGGUUGACCGUGUUUCUUGUUCACCAGAGAAUAAACUUUCAUAUCGCUAUCUGCUCUCUGCGCCUGAUUCCACCCACCUUGAUUAGACGUGACACACGGACUAUCUUUGUAGGCUAUACUCAGCCUUGUCUCAGGAUGGUAAGUUGGUGGUUGAAGAUAUCCCUCUAGUGGUGUGGGGGCUGGGCUUUGGCAAAGUGGGUGGGGUUAUAUCCUGCCUGUUUGGCCCUGUCCGGGUGGAUCAUCAGAUGGGGCCACAGUGUCUCCUGACCCCUCCUGUCUCAGCCUCCAUUAUUUAUGCUGCAGUAGUUUGUGUCAGGGGGCUAGGGUCAGUCUGUUAUAUCUGGAGUAUUUAUCCUGUCCUAUUUGGUGUCCUGUGUGAAUUUAAGUAUUCUCUCUCUAAUUCUCUCUUUUGGAAGACCUGAGCCCUAGGACCAUGCCUCACCUGGCAUGAUGACUCCUUGCUGUCCCCUGUCCACCUGGCUGUGCUGUUGCUCCAGUUUCAACUGUUCUGCCUGCAGAUAAUUUUAAUUUAGUUUUACCUUUAUUUAACUAGGCAAGUCAGUUAAGAACAAAUUCUUAUUUUCAAUGACGGCCUAGGAACAGUGGGUUAACUGCCUUGUUCAGGGGCAGAAGGACAGCUUUGUACCUUGUCAGCUCGGGGAUUUGAACUUGCAACCUUCCGAUUACUAGUCCAAUGCUCUAACCACCAGGCUACCCUGCCGCCCUAAUGAACCCUGACCUGUUCACCGAACGUGCUACCUGUCCCAGACAUGCUGUUUUCAACUCUCUAGAGACAGCAGGAGCGGUAGAGAUACUCUCAAUGAUCACUCUCUCUUUUCACUUAAGCCAACUGACAUUUACUCCUGAGGUGCUGACUUGUUGCACCUUCGACAACCACUGUGAUUAUUAUUAUUUGACCCUGCUGGUCAUUUAUGAACAUUUGAACAUCUUGGCCAUGUUCUGUUAUAAUCUCCACCCGGCACAGCCAGAAGAGGACUGGCCACCCCUCAUAGCCUGGUUCCUCUCUAGGUUUCUUCCUAGGUUUUGGCCUUUCCAGGGAGUUUUUCCUAGCCACUGGUCUUCUACACCUGCAUUGCUUGCUGUUUGGGGUUUUAGGCUGUGUUUCUGUACAGCACUUUGAUAUAUCAGCUGAUGUAAGAAGGGCUAUAGAAAUACAUUUGAUUUGAUUUGAUGAAUACAAAGGGAAAACACAGUGCCACCGACGUGGCCUGCUACCAAGUACUGUGGGCUCUACUUCUCUGUGGCCGACGUAAGUAAGGCUGCCGGCCCAGACCGCAUCCCUAGCCGCGUCCUCAGAGCAUGCGCAGACCAGCUGGCUGGAGUGUUUUACAGAUAUAUUCAAUCUCUCCCUAUCCCAGUCUGCUGUCCCCACAUGCUUAAAGAUGUCCAUCAUUAUUUCUGUACCCAAGAAAGCGAAGGUAACUGAACUAAAUGAAUAUCGCCCCGUAGCAUUGACUUCUGUCAUCAUGAAGUGCUUUGAGAGGCUAGUUAAGGAUCAUAUCACCUCUACCUGACACCUUAGACCCACUCCAAUUUGCUUACCGCCCCAAUAGAUCCACAGACGAUGCAAUCACCAUCGCACUGCACAAUUCCCUAUCCCAUCUGGACAAGAGGAAUACCUAUGUAAGAAUCCUGUUCAUUGACUAUAGCUCAGCAUUCAACACCAUAGUACAUAAAAUCAAACUUUGUCACAUGCACCGAAUACAACAUGUGUAGACUUUACCGUGAAAUGCUUACUUACAAGCCCUUAACCAACAGUGAAGUUCAAGAAAGAGUUAAGAAAAUACUUACCAAAUAAAGUUUAAAAAAUAAUAAAAGUAACACAAUAAAAUAACAACUUGGCUAUAUACAGGGGGUACAGAUUAGUCAAGGUAAUUUGUACAUGCAGGUAGGGGUGAAGUGACUAUACAUAGAUAAUAAACAGAGAGUAGCAGCAGUGUACAUGUAGGUAGGGGUGAAGUGACUAUACAUAGAUAAUAAACAGAGAGUAGCAGCAGUGUACAUGCAGGUAGGGGUGAAGUGACUAUGCAUAGAUAAUAAACAGAGAGUAGCAGCAGUGUACAUGUAGGUAGGGGUGAAGUGACUAUACAUAGAUAAUAAACAGAGAGUAGCAGCAGUGUACAUGCAGGUAGGGGUGAAGUGACUAUACAUAGAUAAUAAACAGAGAGUAGCAGCAGUGUACAUGUAGGUAGGGGUGAAGUGACUAUGCAUAGAUAAUAAACAGAGUAGUAGCAGUGUACAUGUAGGUAGGGGUGAAGUGACUAUACAUAGAUAAUAAACAGAGAGUAGCAGCAGUGUACAUGCAGGUAGGGGUGAAGUGACUAUACAUAGAUAAUAAACAGAGAGUAGCAGCAGUGUACAUGUAGGUAGGGGUGAAGUGACUAUACAUAGAUAAUAAACAGAGAGUAGCAGCAGUGUACAUGUAGGUAGGGGUGAAGUGACUAUACAUAGAUAAUAAACAGAGAGUAGCAGCAGUGUACAUGCAGGUAGGGGUGAAGUGACUAUACAUAGAUAAUAAACAGAGAGUAGCAGCAGUGUACAUGUAGGUAGGGGUGAAGUGACUAUACAUAGAUAAUAAACAGAGAGUAGCAGCAGUGUACAUGUAGGUAGGGGUGAAGUGACUAUACAUAGAUAAUAAACAGAGAGUAGCAGCAGUGUACAUGCAGGUAGGGGUGAAGUGACUAUACAUAGAUAAUAAACAGAGAGUAGCAGCAGUGUACAUGUAGGUAGGGGUGAAGUGACUAUACAUAGAUAAUAAACAGAGAGUAGCAGCAGUGUACAUGCAGGUAGGGGUGAAGUGACUAUACAUAGAUAAUAAACAGAGAGUAGCAGCAGUGUACAUGUAGGUAGGGGUGAAGUGACUAUACAUAGAUAAUAAACAGAGAGUAGCAGCAGUGUACAUGUAGGUAGGGGUGAAGUGACUAUACAUAGAUAAUAAACAGAGAGUAGCAGCAGUGUACAUGCAGGUAGGGGUGAAGUGACUAUGCAUAGAUAAUAAACAGAGAGUAGCAGCAGUGUACAUGUAGGUAGGGGUGAAGUGACUAUGCAUAGAUAAUAAACAGAGAGUAGCAGCAGUGUACAUGUAGGUAGGGGUGAAGUGACUAUACAUAGAUAAUAAACAGAGAGUAGCAGCAGUGUACAUGUAGGUAGGGGUGAAGUGACUAUGCAUAGAUAAUAAACAGAGAGUAGCAGUGUACAUGUAGGUAGGGGUGAAGUGACUAUGCAUAGAUAAUAAACAGAGCAGCAGCAGUGUACAAAACAACUGGGCGAGGGUCAAUGUAAAUAGUCUGGCGAGCUCAUUAUUAAGCUCGGGGCCCUGGGUUUGAACCCUUCCCUGUGCAACUGGUCCCUGGACUUCUUGACCUGCCGCCCCUAGGUGGUGAAGGUAGGAAACAACACCACUUUGUUGAUCCUCAACACUGGGCUCCACAAG